CUGCCACAUCAGGAGUCAAACCUGGGAGCUUUGGGUAGUAGUCUAACCUCUUAGCCACUAGGCUAUGAAGAA